GGAAUAUUGGACAAUGGGCGAAAGCCUGAUCUUGCCAUGCCGCGUGAGCGAUGAAGGCCUUAGGGUUGUAAAGCUCUUUCACCGGUGACGAUAAUGACGGUAGCCGGAGAAGCAGCCCCGGCUAACUCCGUGCCAGCAGCCGCGGUAAUACGGAGGGGGCUAGCGUUGUUCGGAAUUACUGGGCGUAAAGCGCGCGUAGGCGGACCAUCAAGUCAGGGGUGAAAUCCCGGGGCUCAACCCCGGAACUGCCUUUGAAACUGAUGGUCUUGAGGUCGAGAGAGGUGAGUGGAAUUCCGAGUGUAGAGGUGAAAUUCGUAGAUAUUCGGAGGAACACCAGUGGCGAAGGCGGCUCACUGGCUCGAUACUGACGCUGAGGUGCGAAAGCGUGGGGAGCAAAC
rnacentral:rRNA from 1 species